UUAAAUUGAAGAGUUUGAUCAUGGCUCAGAUUGAACGCUGGCGGCAGGCCUAACACAUGCAAGUCGAACGGUAACAGGAAGCAGCUUGCUGCUUUGCUGACGAGUGGCGGACGGGUGAGUAAUGUCUGGGAAACUGCCUGAUGGAGGGGGAUAACUACUGGAAACGGUGGCUAAUACCGCAUAACGUCGCAAGACCAAAGAGGGGGACCUUCGGGCCUCUUGCCAUCAGAUGUGCCCAGAUGGGAUUAGCUAGUUGGUGAGGUAACGGCUCACCAAGGCGACGAUCCCUAGCUGGUCUGAGAGGAUGACCAGCCACACUGGAACUGAGACACGGUCCAGACUCCUACGGGAGGCAGCAGUGGGGAAUAUUGCACAAUGGGCGCAAGCCUGAUGCAGCCAUGCCGCGUGUAUGAAGAAGGCCUUCGGGUUGUAAAGUACUUUCAGCGGGGAGGAAGGUGUUGUGGUUAAUAACCACAGCAAUUGACGUUACCCGCAGAAGAAGCACCGGCUAACUCCGUGCCAGCAGCCGCGGUAAUACGGAGGGUGCAAGCGUUAAUCGGAAUUACUGGGCGUAAAGCGCACGCAGGCGGUCUGUCAAGUCGGAUGUGAAAUCCCCGGGCUCAACCUGGGAACUGCAUUCGAAACUGGCAGGCUUGAGUCUUGUAGAGGGGGGUAGAAUUCCAGGUGUAGCGGUGAAAUGCGUAGAGAUCUGGAGGAAUACCGGUGGCGAAGGCGGCCCCCUGGACAAAGACUGACGCUCAGGUGCGAAAGCGUGGGGAGCAAACAGGAUUAGAUACCCUGGUAGUCCACGCCGUAAACGAUGUCUACUUGGAGGUUGUGCCCUUGAGGCGUGGCUUCCGGAGCUAACGCGUUAAGUAGACCGCCUGGGGAGUACGGCCGCAAGGUUAAAACUCAAAUGAAUUGACGGGGGCCCGCACAAGCGGUGGAGCAUGUGGUUUAAUUCGAUGCAACGCGAAGAACCUUACCUGGUCUUGACAUCCACAGAACUUUCCAGAGAUGGAUUGGUGCCUUCGGGAACUGUGAGACAGGUGCUGCAUGGCUGUCGUCAGCUCGUGUUGUGAAAUGUUGGGUUAAGUCCCGCAACGAGCGCAACCCUUAUCCUUUGUUGCCAGCGGUCCGGCCGGGAACUCAAAGGAGACUGCCAGUGAUAAACUGGAGGAAGGUGGGGAUGACGUCAAGUCAUCAUGGCCCUUACGACCAGGGCUACACACGUGCUACAAUGGCGCAUACAAAGAGAAGCGACCUCGCGAGAGCAAGCGGACCUCAUAAAGUGCGUCGUAGUCCGGAUUGGAGUCUGCAACUCGACUCCAUGAAGUCGGAAUCGCUAGUAAUCGUGGAUCAGAAUGCCACGGUGAAUACGUUCCCGGGCCUUGUACACACCGCCCGUCACACCAUGGGAGUGGGUUGCAAAAGAAGUAGGUAGCUUAACCUUCGGGAGGGCGCUUACCACUUUGUGAUUCAUGACUGGGGUGAAGUCGUAACAAGGUAACCGUAGGGGAACCUGCGGUUGGAUCACCUCCUUACCUUAAAGAAGC
rnacentral:rRNA from 1 species